AGCUUGAAGCAAUAGCAACUGGUUUUGGUGAUUUAACAUUAGCAGCGUUCACUGUGGGAAGAAAUGUCUUGGGAAUGAACAACACCAAUCGAUAAACUGGAUUACAAUUGCUCAGUUCAACCGGACUUUAUACAUUGCAUUGUGACAUUUUUUUCUGUUAAUAAUAAUACAGGAAUUUUUACUGCACACUUUUCCCCUUUUGUCAUCUAAUAUUUUCAUUUAUCUACUCAAUAGAUACAAUUGGUAACUUGAUUCACAUGACCUUUAGUUGGUACAACAUUGUAUACGGACAUAUUGUAUUAUUAAGCUUGGUAUAGGAAAAUGCAUGGAUCUGUUGGAGUGUUUCUACAGUAAGGUUUAUCAUCAGAUGUUUUUGGGCAGAUAAUUGUCCUUGAUAGCUCACACUGGAAUAAAAAUUGAACUAAACUGAAUAAUCUUGGUUAAAAAGCUAGUAAAAUACUCAAAAUUGCUUGGAAAUUGAACAUGACGACAUUGUCAGAAUGGUUUUCUCGGGGGUUCUCUGUUUCUCCAAAAGAUACUGCCCCAAAUAUUGAAGUGUUAAACUUAUAUCAGAUAGAUUUAGGCACUAUGAAAAUCAUUGAUCUGACUCUUGUAAUAAUCGAACCGUAGGACUCUAGGCUACCUCUGCAGGCUCACAAAAAAUAUUUUUGAACUUCAAAUCCUAAAAUGCAUAUAGUGCAAAGAAUUUGAACAGUACAUACAGUUAUUAACAAACUGCCUUUUCCAUAUUACUUUGUUGUUGGUUUUAAGUCCACAACAUUGCAUAUUACUUUGUUGUUGGUUUUAAACCACAACAUUGAAAAUCCUUAUAUUAUUUCCUGAUCGUACUGUAUAUUGUACCAACUGAACAUCAUAUUACUACUACUUGUUCUGGGUCACCUAUUAUGUCUGUUAGUAUUAGACGUUUAUUGAAGCGUAUAAAGUCAAUGUAUUAUGCGCUAUAAAAAAUCAACAUCAAUUUAAACUCUUAGGUACACUAUGAUAUAAAUUAUAAAUAGAUUAUCAGCCCUGCCACAUCACUGUUGAUAUCAUAUUCUCACAAUUGACAGACUUCUGUAUCCAUGGACAAGGGAAAAACCCCAUCUAUAAAUCAAUCUAUAAUGUAUACAAAAAAUGUGGUUGGGAUAUUUUCCCUUGCUUACAUUAUUGUUAGUAGUGUAAUAACUUUUUUUUAUAAAAAUUUUGUUUAUAUUAUAUAUCUUGUCAAGUGAACUUGACAAGGCUUCACAUAAGACUUCUAUAAUUGAUUGUACUACUGCAUUUCAAUAUUCAAUAAAAAAAAAAUGGUUGUCUCUUAA